rnacentral:lncRNA from 1 species
ACGGCGAUGGCGGGUAGGCUGGGGCAUCUGGAGAUGAAGGAAUCCAAUGUGAAGAAGAAUCUGGAGCUGUUUCAGGGCAAGGUCCUUAAAUUCGACGGCGAAGCUGUCCUUGUCGACGACGACGACCUCUAAAUAAAUCAAUCAUUUUUUAGAAUUCUUCUGAUCAUUGGAGAAAGUAGCCGUUGGAGGCUGAUUGAGAAUUUUCUUAAACGAGAAAUGAAAAAGGAAACCGACCAGUAUAGGAUAGGAUCAUGAUUCAUGAAUGGAGGAGUCUCUGUUCCAAAUGCUUUCCGUGUGAUUCUCUCUCACUUUGUUGUUGAUGUAUUAGUAUUAUU